rfam:Schistosoma haematobium scaffold507_1, whole genome shotgun sequence.
CUACUGCCGAAGAGUCCCGUACAAGGACGAAACGGCCGUCCAGUGC